CCGAGAAGAGUAAAGAAACAUAGAAACUGCUAAUUAUCUAAUACGAGGUUAAAUUCCACGAUCUACUC
rnacentral:tRNA from 1 species